CCUACGGGAGGCAGCAGUGAGGAAUAUUGGUCAAUGGCCGUAAGGCUGAACCAGCCAAGUCGCGUGAAGGAAGAAGGAUCUAUGGUUUGUAAACUUCUUUUAUAGGGGAAUAAAGGUAUCCACGUGUGGAUAUUUGCAUGUACCCUAUGAAUAAGCAUCGGCUAACUCCGUGCCAGCAGCCGCGGUAAUACGGAGGAUGCGAGCGUUAUCCGGAUUUAUUGGGUUUAAAGGGUGCGUAGGUUGUUUUUUAAGUCAGCGGUGAAAGUCUGUGGCUCAACCAUAAAAUUGCCGUUGAAACUGGAAGACGUGAGUGUGUUUGAGGUAGGCGGAAUGCGUGGUGUAGCGGUGAAAUGCAUAGAUAUCACGCAGAACUCCGAUUGCGAAGGCAGCUUACUAAGCCAUAACUGACACUGAAGCACGAAAGCGUGGGGAUCAAACAGGAUUAGAUACCCCAGUAGGC
rnacentral:rRNA from 1 species